UNCAGCUGGUUCCUAUGGGAUGUGCCCUGGU
rnacentral:piRNA from 1 species